CUGGCGGCAGGCUUAACACAUGCAAGUCGAACGGUAGCAGGAAGAAAGCUUGCUUUCUUUGCUGACGAGUGGCGGACGGGUGAGUAAUGCUUGGGAAUCUGGCUUAUGGAGGGGGAUAACUGUGGGAAACUGCAGCUAAUACCGCGUAUUCUCUGAGGAGGAAAGGGUGGGACCUUAGGGCCACCUGCCAUAAGAUGAGCCCAAGUGGGAUUAGGUAGUUGGUGGGGUAAAGGCCUACCAAGCCUGCGAUCUCUAGCUGGUCUGAGAGGAUGACCAGCCACACUGGAACUGAGACACGGUCCAGACUCCUACGGGAGGCAGCAGUGGGGAAUAUUGCGCAAUGGGGGGAACCCUGACGCAGCCAUGCCGCGUGAAUGAAGAAGGCCUUCGGGUUGUAAAGUUCUUUCGGUAAUGAGGAAGGGAUGUUGUUAAAUAGAUAGCAUCAUUGACGUUAAUUACAGAAGAAGCACCGGCUAACUCCGUGCCAGCCGCCGCGGUAAU
rnacentral:rRNA from 1 species